CACCGCCGCCUGGGUCAGCGGGCCGCCCGGGCAGCCGCCGGGUUUGUGACGCAGGCAGCUGUGGGCUUUUGACUUGUUACUUGCGCUGCCCCACGCUCGGGUACUGGCAGAGAAAGUUGAAUCGAAGGAAAUAAGAGAUGCAGCUCGUUAUACAGCUAGAUUUCCAUCUUUGGAUCAGCUCGGGGCCUAAGUACCUUCUCUUUCAGGGUGUCUUGUUUUCUUAAACACAGAAGCCCAUGAACUUCAAAGACAGGUUCUGGGCUCAAGCACUUUCUGGCUAUUCUUAGCUCUCUUUCCCUGCAGCCAAGCCUCCUCCUUGGGAAGUGAUAAAGUGAGUCGGGAGUGGUGGGGAGGAGAGAGUGGGCGUGUCAGAUCCGGGCGCGAUGAAUCACCCAGCCCAGCCCAGAGCUGGAGAGAUUAUCCGCGGCAUGCUUCACAUUUUCUCCAAGUUGACCAUUAAGCACAGCCCGUAUACAACUGGAUUUUUUUACAGCAUGUAGAUCAAUUUGUGACACAUCUGUAGGGCUUUUCCUUUAAUCCUAUGAAACAAAAGAGCCAUGUUUUGAUCUGUGAAAGUAGAGACGGGCCAGUUCUGUAGCUAUCUGCCGAUGCAUUUGAAAAAGCAGUUUCGGUCUUGGGGUGUAUGUGUGGGUGUGCGCGUGCGCACCGCCUGUGGGUAACCUCCAAAGGUGACAUCAGCGCACAGUGUCAGGCAGUUUGCCAGGCUGUGCCUCCUGGGGACUGGUGCUGUGGGAGGGGUCCGUGUGGUGGGUUUGGAGGUCCUCUUUUCUGCCCCCUGACCACCUCUGGGCUCCUAUUCAACCCAAACAAAUCAUCAGAGGAAGAACCCGGAGAGAACACUCCGGGUCUGCCUCCUAUGAGGUAAAACCCCUCAGAAGCUGGAAGAGCAGAGGACAUGAAGACAGUUAGAAUCCUUAGGUGGCCAUGGGCCCUGGAGACCAUCGUGGAGACAGCUCGUUAUUUCUACACUAGAGAAUCAUUACCUUGUGACUCGCAUCUCUGCUGUCUGGGGAUUUCCGUGUCCAAGGAGGAGCAGACAGAGGCCAGGACUGGGAAGUGUUGGGUGCAGGAGAAUGAAUCACCGGUGAUGGAGAGACUCACAGUUCUUCACAGGUGGCCGCCUUCCGGGGUGAGGCCAGGUUCAAAUCCACAGGACUAGAUCCUGCCUGUAACCACCGACGGUUUCUGGCCCACAAUAAUGCUAGAUUUUUGUGGGAAAACAAACUUCAUAGAAAUUCUGGGAACUACCGUGCCUUGUACCUGUACGUGGUGGCUGAUGGGGGAAAGCAUCGACCAAGAAACAAAUAAAGAGUAGCUGUUACUAUUGUUGCUCCCAUUUUACAGAUGAAAAGAACGAGACCAAAAGAGGUAAUGAAACUUGAUCACGGCCCAAUUCUAUGGUAAAAUUAAUCAAAAUACUUUCCCUAAACCAUGUUGUGUAUAAAUUUUCCUGGAGAAAACUCAUGGAACAUGUAUGCCUUUUAUUUUUAAAUAAACUACAGUUCCAGCUUCUCAUGCAAACUUGUGAAAAAGGACUAUCCAAGUCCCUGGUUUACAAAAAGAGGCCUCUGAUUCUGUAGGUAC